GACGAACGCUGGCGGCGUGCUUAACACAUGCAAGUCGAACGGAAAGGCCCUGCUUUUGUGGGGUGCUCGAGUGGCGAACGGGUGAGUAACACGUGAGUAACCUGCCCUUGACUUUGGGAUAACUUCAGGAGACUGGGGCUAAUACCGGAUAGGAGCUCCUGCUGCAUGGUGGGGGUUGGAAAGUUUCGGCGGUUGGGGAUGGACUCGCGGCUUAUCAGCUUGUUGGUGGGGUAGUGGCUUACCAAGGCUUUGCCGGGUAGCCGGCCUGAGAGGGUGACCGGCCCCAUUGGGACUGGGCUACGGCCCAGACCCCUCCGGGAGGCAGCGGUGGGGAAUAUUGCACAAUGGGCGGAAGCCUGAUGCAGCACCGCCGCGUGCGGGAUGACGGCCUUCGGGUUGUAAACCGCUUUCGCCUGUGACGAAGCGUGAGUGACGGUAAUGGGUAAAGAAGCACCGGCUAACUACGUG
rnacentral:rRNA from 1 species